rnacentral:snRNA from 1 species
AUACUCAUCUGGCAGAGGAGAUAGCAUGAUCAUGAAGGUGGUUUUCCCAGGAUAAGCCUUAUCCAUUGCACUCUGGAUGUGCUUACUACUGUGAUUUCCCCAAGUUUGGGAAACUUGACUGCAUUAUUUGUGGUAGUGGGAGACUUCAUUCACACUAUCCCCUA